rnacentral:rRNA from 1 species
AGGCGGGCUGGAAUCUCUCGGGGUUACAGCCUUGCUGAAUUAUUCACCCUUGUCUUUUGCGUACUUCUUGUUUCCUUGGUGGGUUCGCCCACCACUAGGACAAACAUAAACCUUUUGUAAUUGCAAUCAGCGUCAGUAACAAAUUAAUAAUUACAACUUUCAACAACGGAUCUCUUGGUUCUGGCAUCGAUGAAGAACGCAGCGAAAUGCGAUAAGUAGUGUGAAUUGCAGAAUUCAGUGAAUCAUCGAAUCUUUGAACGCACAUUGCGCCCUUUGGUAUUCCAAAGGGCAUGCCUGUUCGAGCGUCAUUUGUACCCUCAAGCUUUGCUUGGUGUUGGGCGUCUUGUCUCUAGCUUUGCUGGAGACUCGCCUUAAAGUAAUUGGCAGCCGGCCUACUGGUUUCGGAGAGCAUUUUAAGUCGCAUUUUUUAUCAGCCAAGGUUUAGCAUCCAUUAAGCCUUUUUUCAACCUUUGACCUCGGAUCAGGUAGGGAUACCCGCUGAACUUAAGCAUAUCAAUAAGCGGAGGAA